rnacentral:rRNA from 1 species
AUUGAACGCUGGCGGCAGGCCUAACACAUGCAAGUCGAGCGGAUGAAGGGAGCUUGCUCCUGGAUUCAGCGGCGGACGGGUGAGUAAUGCCUAGGAAUCUGCCUGGUAGUGGGGGAUAACGUCCGGAAACGGGCGCUAAUACCGCAUACGUCCUGAGGGAGAAAGUGGGGGAUCUUCGGACCUCACGCUAUCAGAUGAGCCUAGGUCGGUUUAGCUAGUUGGUGGGGUAAAGGCCUACCAAGGCGACGAUCCGUAACUGGUCUGAGAGGAUGAUCAGUCACACUGGAACUGAGACACGGUCCAGGCGCCUACGGGAGGCAGCAGUGGGGAAUAUUGGACAAUGGGCGAAAGCCUGAUCCAGCCAUGCCGCGUGUGUGAAGAAGGUCUUCGGAUUGUAAAGCACUUUAAGUUGGGAGGAAGGGCAGUAAGUUAAUACCUUGCUGUUUUGACGUUACCAACAGAAUAAGCACCGGCUAACUUCGUG